UCUGGUAGACAAGCGGUGUUUCCGCAAAGUCCGCAGUCGUCUUCUGGCUUUUCCUUUUUCAGGUCGGGGAAGCUUGUGUUGGAGCCGAUCCUGAGCUCUGGUGAAACUUUUGUCUUCUUUGUACGAGUAUAAUGAAUUUAGUUGUCUUUUUCUGCUAUCUUUACGGUGGUGUGGGAAGUUAGGAGGAUUUGAUAAGGUUUUUUUUUAUCUUGGUUUAAGAGGAGACUGUUUUUAAGUUUUUAUAUACACCCAGUUUUUAGGCUGGACGUGAUGUGCUGGAACAUCAGCAGAAACUGGUGUGAAAAUGUAAUCCAGUGGUAAAGGUGGUGGAUGGUCCCAAAGGCCCAGGUGUUGUCAGUGGGGUCACCAGUGAUUUGCCUAUCCCAACCAUGGCUCAGCUGCUACAAUUGUUUUGUCUGUUUUGUUUUGUCUUAUUGUUCAUCUUAGUUUGGCUGUCCAGACUUUAGAUACCAAUAUUAGUGUUGUUAAAGUUGUUAAUGACGGACCUCCUGAAAACAGAACUUGUUGAUGGAUCCUACACCAGGACACUGACACUUCCAUCCCAUUUGGAUCCCAUAUAUUUUAAUUUCAUGGACAUUAGGGCUGGAAGGGACCUUGGAAGAUCAUCAAGUCCAGCCCCCUGCCCCAGGGGCAGGAAGUCAGCUAGGGUCACAGGAUCCCUGCAAGAUAAACGGCUAAUUGACUCCUAAGUGAAUCCAGAGCAGGUGCUUGCACCACCUCUGGCAGCAGUUUUUUCCAGGUCUUGGGGGCUCGGCCUAUAAAGAAGUUCUUCCUUAUGUCCAAGAAUUAACCAAGAAAUUUUGUAUUUGAUGAUGUUUUCUGUCAAUCAAUGUUUUUGUAAUGUCUCAUCAGUUAGUGGUUCUGAUUUUAUGUAUUUUGUACCCCAGUGGACUGUUGAGUCUAUCCAAGCUAAACCAUGGCUAUAUCAGGAUAUUACACCAGUGCAGAUGUGAUUGGAUUUGCCACUUUUGCAGCAAGUUUUGUCUCACCCUGAUCACUGUACUCCAAUUUAUUAAGAUAUGCAAUCAAGAAACCAUAGUUCAGAUCAAACAUAACAAAAAAAGAAGUCCUGACAGUAUUAGAAAAGGUCUGGAACGCUGGACAGCAUUCUUGGAGGGAAACUUUAAUUGGAUAGAGUCCAACUGAUUCGUAAUUUUUUUAAUCUAAUGUUACCAUCCUAUUGUUAUUUUGCUUUUUGUGCAAAUAAUAUUAUGUGUUGGAAAAUGAAAUGGCUAUAUUUUAAACAAGAACUCUAUCAAACUCAGCAGCUGCAAGUAUUAUGUUAUGGCAAGCUCCUUCAAUAAGCAGGAUGUCAGGCAAGCCUGGGGUGAAAUGAUCACUUGCUGCGUGAAGAGCUCAGCUGAUGGUUGCAACCCGGGCAGGCCUUCAGCAGCGGGGGCAGAGUUUCAUUACCAGACUUCGAUGCAGUGAUGGAAUAGCUGAACCUAGCCCUCAAGGAGGGACUGCUAGGGUAGCUUGUCAUAUUUUAUGCUUUAAAAUUGUACUUGUUUAUAGAGUGGUGAAUUAUAGUAUUGUUUAAAGUUUUCUUUUAUAUUCAGCCUAAUGUUCUGUAUAGCCUUACUGUUAUCUGAAUUUUUCAUUUCGCUGGUGUUUGCAAUAUCAGCUGGCCUUCCCUCUUGCAAGCGGCUUAUGGCCUUGAGUUUGCUUGCAUGAUGUUUCCUUCCUUUUCUAUCACUGUAAAAAGUUUUUCUAACAUAGUAAUAGUUUUGUUGCUAGGUCAAAUUAACUGAACUUGGCAUUAGCCAGCUGAAUCAGAGGGAUGAAAUGAUUGGAUAUGUUAAUGAAAGGUAAUAAAGGAGGCCAAUGGACAAUGCUCAGUGUAGGACACUGGAAAAAGGCCAAAUUAAGAGGUGUGCUUGUGAUGAGUCUGUUGAAAAAAGAAAUAUGAUGACAGGAUAAAAUAUGGACAAUAUGCUGACUGCAGAGAGACCAAUCCAAAAGCAAGGAGUUAUCAAAGGAGUCAAGUUAAAGAAAAACAUAGAAGGCAAGAGCAGGAAAGUUAAGUGCAUGCCUUCAUCAUCAUCAUUGUCAUCAUGACAACACAUCAUUCAACACCUGUCUGGACCAUCCCAACCAACAAAGCACCCUUUGCUUCAAAAACUCAGUGGCCGUCUUUUCUGUGAAGCAAAGUAACAUCUGGGAUUGGAUGAGAUCAUUGUAUUGAGUGCUUUUCUCUCUCUGAAUAUAGAAACUGCUAAGAUAACACUUGUUGUACUAAUAAAGUUAGACUUUGAUUUUAGGA